ensembl:lncRNA
CUCCUCCUGCUUCUUUCCAGAAGGAUGAGACAAACAGCAGAAAACAACCAGCCUCCACAGCUAACUCGUUUGGGGUUGCUCCGGACGUUUGGAUGUUCCCUUCCAUGGCCCAGGCGAAGCUCGCUGAGCUGCUCCUCCUUUGUGCAGGGGAAGACCGGUGCAGGUGCAAUGCGCUGGCUAUGCACAGCAUGCCUUUUCCUUGCUUUUCCUCUCCCCGUCUUCCACGAGCAAACAGCAUCUCAACUCUUUCCUUGCUCAGAAACCACUGAGGUAAAAAAGAACUGGCAAGCUUGCUUUCAGAAUUACCUUCUCUGUACGACCUGCUGCUUUAAAGCACCAGCUCUCCUAGCAAUGACCUGCCUCUGGCAUGCUCAGCCUGCAGGGAAAAGUUAUUCCUCUGUGUCUGCAGGCUUUGCUCGCAUUCCCAGGUGCAAGAGUCAGUCUAGAGCUCAGCCCAGCUUUACCAACAACAGAAAUCCAGUUGAUGCCAGCUGUGUUUUUCUCUCUUCUGAAACACCGUACUGCUGCAAGAAGCAAUGUUGCAAAUGCUUCUUUAUUGCACAAAAGCUAGGAAAUAGCUUUUUUUCUAGAGAUUUCCAGACGACGCAUACUUUUCAAGGAGGCACCAGGCAAGUGGAGACAACGGAAAGCACUGGCAAGUCAAAGCUUGGUUAAAAGCUUUCAUGUGAGACCUAAUGGCAUCUUUUCCCAUGCAGGUCAGCUACGGUGACGAUAAACCAUGCUCCAAAAGCUUCACUGCAUGAGAACGCCACAUGCAAAAGAUUAGAAGCUGCAGAGAUAUAAAUUCAUCUCAGCCCAGAAAUCCUUCCCUGUGUGUAUUGCCUGGAGUUCCGAGACUGCAGAGCCAGAAUCAUUCUCCUCCUCUGAGUGCAGUCUAGGAGAUGGACACCUCCAACCACGCACACUUCCACAGCUCUUCCUUUCUCAUCAAAUCAGGCCUUGACACAGGAGAUGUUUUUGUCCCCUCUUUUUCCUGAGGUUACCCCCCGCUGCCUCUGUUGCCGUGUUUUACUUGACCACUAACAA